UACGUAGGGUGCAAGCGUUGUCCGGAAUUAUUGGGCGUAAAGAGCUCGUAGGCGGUUUGUCGCGUCUGCUGUGAAAACUCGGGGCUUAACCCCGGGCCUGCAGUGGGUACGGGCAGACUAGAGUGCGGUAGGGGAGACUGGAAUUCCUGGUGUAGCGGUGAAAUGCGCAGAUAUCAGGAGGAACACCGGUGGCGAAGGCGGGUCUCUGGGCCGUAACUGACGCUGAGGAGUGAAAGCAUGGGGAGCGAACAGG
rnacentral:rRNA from 1 species